rnacentral:lncRNA from 1 species
AUGGAUAAAAUAUUAAAAAAAAAUCCUGAUAUCAGCCUCAGAAAUGUAGCAAAGUGUCCUAGGUGUCACCCAUGGUAUUCCCUGCUUGCAAGCAUUUGGAAGUUCCCUCUGUCUCCAGCCUGUGGCCGAGGCCUCCCUAGCUGGCUAAUACUGGCCCCUUUCCCCCACGCAGACCUGGGUAAUGCUGGCCCCUUCCCCNNNNCCCCGCAGACCCCUCCGCCGCGUUCCCGAGCGCUCCCUUCAGGUCACCACCAGGGGGCAGCUGUGUCCCAUCUCAAACGGUUCCCACGCCCGCCCAGCAGGGGCCGGUUCGCUGCAGAGUCUCAGACUUGCGCUGGUGGGCAGGGGGCUUCGGGAGGGGAGCAGAAAAGAGCCAGGAUCACAUCUUGUUCACUGCUGUUUCCCCACAGCUCAGCCCAGCUCCUGACUCGCUGAUAGAGAAUUUCAGAAGGCCCGUGGCGUGACUGAAGAAAAUGUGGUCAGGAUAUGUGAUCAUUCUUUUCUGUUCUCGGAACAUGUUGUUGGAAUAUAAUAUACAGGCUUACCUCAUUUUAUUGUGCUUCAAAGAUACUGCGUUUGUUUUUUUUACAAAUUGAAGGUUUGUGGUCAUCAUGUGUUGAGCAAGUCUACAGGCUCCAUCUUUCCAAAAGCAUUUGUUUACCUUGUGUCUCUGUGCUCCAUUUUGGUAAUUCUCACAAUAUUUCAAACUUUUUCAUUAAUUAAUUAAUUAGUUUUAAAAGUAGGCUCUGUGCCCAGCAUGGAGCCCAGUGUGGAGCCCAACGUGGGGCCCAAAUUCACAACCCUGAGAUCAAGACAGACCUGAGCCAAUAUGGAGCUGGACACUCAGUCGACUGAGCCACCAGGUGCUCCUAUAUAUUUUUUAAAGUUUUAUGUAUUUAAGUAAUCUCUACACCCCACGUGGGGUUCCAGCUCAUGAUCAAGAGUCACAUGCUCCGAGGCAGCCCGGAUGGCUCAGUGGUUUAGUGCCACCUUUGGUCCAGGGCAUGAUCCUGGAGACCUGGGAUUGAGUCCCACAUCAUGCUCCCUGCUUGGAGUCUGCUUCUCCCUCUGCCUGUGUCUCUGUCUGGGUCUCUCUCUCUCUCUCUGUGUGUGUCUUGUGAAUAAAUAAAUAAAAUCUUAAAAAAAAAAAAAAGAG